rnacentral:rRNA from 1 species
CAAUAGCGUAUAUUAAAGUUGUUGCGGUUAAAAAGCUCGUAGUUGGAUUUCUGCCGAGGACGACCGGUCCGCCCUCUGGGUGAGCAUCUGGGACGGCCUGGGCAUCCUCUUGGGGAACGUAGCUGCACUUGACUGUGUGGUGCGGUAUCCAGGACUUUUACUUUGAGGAAAUUAGAGUGUUUCAAGCAGGCGCACGCCUUGAAUACAUUAGCAUGGAAUAAUAAGAUAGGACCUUGGUUCUAUUUUGUUGGUUUCUAGAGCUGAGGUAAUGAUUAAUAGGGAUAGUUGGGGGCAUUCGUAUUUAACUGUCAGAGGUGGAAUUCUUGGAUUGUGUUACGACGAACUACUGCGAAAGCAUUUGCCAAGGAUGUUUUCAUUGAUCAAGAACGAAAGUAAGGGGAUCGAAGAUGAUUAGAUACCGU